UUUAUUAUAGAAAUGGCUUCCAUAAUGAGAAAUAUGGCAACUAAACAAAACUCAAUUUAACAAUUACCUCUGAACUUCAGAGAAAUCAAAACUCCCAAAAGAAUUGCCCUAUAGAUGUUAAUUAUAACUGUUUCUCAUUCUUGAUUUGGUUAUUUAGAUACAUUCCCCCCCUCUGACAACAGCAGAGCUGAAUUAAGGAGUUUCAAAAUAUCUUCUGACAAGUUGUGUAGUUGAAAAAAAAAAACAUAUUUUCCAAACAGCCAUUCUACUUAGAUUUUUAGAUCGAUUUGUGCAGAUGGGCAAAGCUUGUUGUGUGCAUUGCAAACAGCGCAAAGCCCUCACUGUGAAAAAGAAUUCAGAUUCACAUGAAACGAAAUACCAGUCCUACAAACACAGAUGCACAUGAAAAUGGAGCAAAAAUGAAUCUUGUUCUUGGAAACAAUGCUGAUUUAUCACUUGCAGGCACAUGGCAGCUCGUUUGAAACACUAGGACUAGUUUCAUGUGUACCUUAGAGUUCAGGCCUGCACCACGUCAGCUGAUAGAGGAGACAAGCAAAGGAAUGCUUCUUUCAAAAGAACCACUGUCCUGGAGCGGCUCAUCCCUGUGUUCUCUUUAAAACAGAUCUGACUUCCGGCUGCCCUCCUUCGGUGCUGGAGACAUUCCUUGCAAGAUCACUUGAAUGGCUGCUCUGUUGUAUAUCAGCCCAGGCGGCAGGACCAGGCAAUUUACAAGAUGUCCUGCUGUUUAAAACCACGACCCAGCCUCAGAGCUGUGCUCCCAGAGACGCCAAGGAGUGAACAUCCCCAAGAUUUACAAUGGAGCCCGACACACAGUUACUGCUUGUGAAUUAGUGACCUUUCAACCUAAAGACUUUAGUCAACCCUGGCUCGGGAUACAAGUGAACGACACAUGAACCAGAUCUGAAAUCUACUAGAGGGAUGUGACAGCAUUCUUCCACAAAAAAUUCCAUCAUCUGGGGUUUCUGUUGAAGGUGAUGGAAAACGCUGUUUCGGCGCUGCUCCAGGAUCUCCCAUUAGGUGUUCCAUUGGGUUGAGAUUUGGUGACUGGGACAACCGUGGCAUUGCACCGACACCACGGUCGAGGAGUAUGCGGUUGCGUCCUCAGGUGCCUCCAGCCGAUGACGACUUUCCCUCAGACUUCAAUGCCACCAGCACCCUAGCCACUGCUUCUCCUGAAGGAUCAGCACGUACCCAAUAUGAGGCUCCAGACUGGGAUAUGUGCUGGUACUUGCUGUGCUAUUGCUCUAAGGCUGAGGAAAGAUCUCCCAUCUGUGAUCUUGAUAGUCAACCAACAUUUUCAUCAUUUUCAGCAUUUUCAAAUCCUGACUCAAAACAUUUGCAUGCUAGCUUUUGAUUUUGUAAUUUUAUUGUAUACAUACUGUAAGCCUCUAUCGUUGUUGUCUCUGAUUUAUGUCAGAGACAUAAAUUAAUAACAGUAAAUUUAAACUCGAUUCAUACUGUGUAUAAUUAAUGACAACUCCCUGGAUUGAAAAAAAAUGAAUUCUGAUUCUUUGUCUCAUUUGGCAUUUUUAGAUCACUUAACAACAGAAGGUUCACUGAUUGCCCGUGUAAAAAGAAGUAAAAUUGCCUGUAGUGGUGUUUAAAAUGAGACAGAGAGACUUUUUAGAACUGUGGGAGUCAUUUUUGUGAUUAGUGGCAGUCUUAUUUCACAGCUUUUUUACAACAACAUUAGAGAUCAGUGACUUGUUGCCGAAACACCCAUGCCAACAAAAUCUCUGAAUCUUACAGCAUGAUACCAUUUUUCUCCACAUGACAAGGGUCACUCAGGACAUUCUCUCCUGCUCACGAGAGUUGCAUGUGGUGCAUGUACUGUACAGUACAAUGUUUCUGUUAAAUCUAUGUCAUGCCAUUUACAUGCUUGAACUCAGGCUUAAUGGUUGACCUGAUUUGAAUUUAUCAUGUGACCCACAUGUGACUAUCAACAUUUUUUCUCAGAAACUUCUUUACAAAUGGCAUUGUAAACGAUUUCAUUACA